GGGUCUCCCUCCCAGUUCCCCCUUUUGCCAAUUUCCCCUUUUUUCCCCAGGAAACGGGACAAGGGCAAGAAGGCUCAGCCGCCCCCCAAGCCCCCCAAAGCCCCCAAGGCCUCUCGGCGGCGGGAGAAGCUGCGGGUGCCCUCUCCCCAGGGCCAGCGGCGGCGCCGGGGGGGCCCCGGGGGGGCCGAGGCACGCUUCCAGGAGCUGGUGGAGAGGUACAAGAGGAAGAUUUUGGGGAGCAACCCCCCCACGGCCCGGGGGGCAAAGUGGUUCGAGAGCUGAGGCUCCCCCAGCAGCCCCCCCGGCACCCCAAAACCCCCCUGGGGGUGCCGGGGGUCCCACACCCUACAGGGGGGUUUGGGGCGCUGCCCCCACGCGCUCUGGGGGGGGCUGGGGGUGGGACCCUGCUCUGGGUCCCUCCUGGCUCCCCCCAGGAUUUGGGGGGCAUCCCCCCGCCAUGGCUCUGUGU
ensembl:lncRNA